rnacentral:rRNA from 1 species
GUGUCAGCAGCCGCGGUAAGACAGAGGUGGCGAGCGUUGUUCGGAUUUAUUGGGCGUAAAGCGUACGCAGGCGGUUUGGUAAGUCAGAGGUGAAAGCUCGCAGCUUAACUGCGACACUGCCUUUGAUACUGCCUUUCUUGAGUAGAGUAGGGGGAAGCGGAAUUCCGAGUGUAGAGGUGAAAUUCGUAGAUAUUCGGAGGAACACCGGUGGCGAAGGCGGCUUCCUGGACUCUAACUGACGCUCAUGUACGAAAGCGUGGGUAGCAAACAGGAUUAGAAACCCCCGUAGUCC